rnacentral:rRNA from 1 species
GUCGAGAAUCUUUCACAAUGGGGGCAACCCUGAUGGAGCGACGCCGCGUGGAGGAUAAGGUCUUCGGAUUGUAAACUCCUGUCAUGCGUGAACAAGGUUGCUUGGUUAAUACCUGGGCAAAUUGAUGGUAACGCAAGAGGAAGAGACGGCUAACUCUGUGCCAGCAGCCGCGGUAAUACAGAGGUCUCAAGCGUUGUUCGGAAUCACUGGGCGUAAAGGGUGCGUAGGUGGCGUGGUAAGUCAGAUGUGAAAGCCCGGGGCUCAACCUCGGAACUGCAUCCGAUACUGCCAUGCUAGAGUACUGGAGAGGUGACUAGAAUUCUCGGUGUAGCAGUGAAAUGCGUAGAUAUCGAGAGGAAUACCAAAGGCGUAGGCAGGUCACUGGACAGUUACUGACACUGAGGCACGAAGGCCAGGGGAGCGAACGGGAUUAGAUACCCGGGUAGUCC